GACGAACGCUGGCGGCGUGCUUAACACAUGCAAGUCGAACGAAGUGGCGAACGGGUGAGUAACGCGUAAUCAACCUGCCCUUCAGAGGGGGACACAAGUUGGAAACGACUGCUAAUACCGCAUACUGAAGGAGGGGAUUGCGUCUGAUUAGCUAGUUGGAGGGGUACCGGCCCACCAAGGCGAUGAUCAGUAGCCGGUCGGGGAGGAGGAACGGCCACAUUGGGACUGAGACACGGCCCAGACUCCUACGGGAGGCAGCAGUGGGGAAGCUUCCGCAAUGGACGAAAGUCUGACGGAGCAACGCCGCGUGAGUGAUGACGGCCUUCGGGUUGUAAAGCUCUGUUAAUCGGGACGCGGUACCGGAAUAGAAAGCCACGGCUAACUACGUGCCAGCAGCCGCGGUAAUAC
rnacentral:rRNA from 1 species